ACACUUUUUUUCCUAUUGGUUAGAAAAAGUUGUGUGUGGAUUGAUAAUCUCAACCAUAGAUUAAAUAUUUUGAAGGGUUCAGAUUAAAUCUUUUGGUGUUUGCUUCUCUCUCUCUCUCACGCUUCUUCACUUUUUCUAUGUCUCUUUCUCUCACAUCGAAACAAAGAACAUCAACAUUCAAGACCAAGGCUGGAUGCCGUAUCCUCCGAUUCUCUUUUUUUUUUUCUUAUCUUCUUCAUCCUUACACAAAAUCACCCCAUAAACAAAAUCUAUAAACAACCACCAUCACUGUAACCUCCGACGCGGGCAUCUCUAUCUCCUCAUUCUCUACCUCCGUCAAUGAAGCUGUAUCUCAGGGACAGGGAAGAGGGAAUGUAAUUGACAAAGGGCUGAUGGUUGCUCUUGUUCUUGUAGUGCGACAACAUUUAUAAGUGGAAGAAGCUGGAUAUGAAGAAGUUGUGCCUGUGGAGAUGAGCCAAGGAAGAAGACCAAAAAGAGAGAGGGAGAAAGACGUAAGUAAGGUGAAGAAGAUGGAAGAGAAAAGAGACGAACGGCGUAGAUUAGGUUUUUUAGUUUCGGUUGGUUUAUUAGGUUUGGUUUAGAUAGGGUUAGUUUAAUAAACCGGGUCUGUGUGUAAACCAAUGUCAAGUAAUAAACCGAUAUUAAUUGUAAACCAGUUAUUUGUAUACCAAUAUUAAUUAAUAAAUAAAAUCUAAAUUUUAAUUA